AACUGUGUGCAUAUCUGGGCAAAGAGAAGGUGUAUGGCUUUAAAAUGGCACAGUUGAUAAACAAGUAGCCUGGAGAAAAAAAUGACUGAACAAAGGUGCAUUUGUCUCUUGAGUAAGACGUUGCGUUAAUCACAAGUCAGUAUGCCACUGAUUUUCUCAGACAUUGCCUCCCAGGUGUGGGCAAUGUCCAUGCCAGGCCUGAGCACAGCUGUCACUGCAUUUUGAUUCAAAUACUGGGGGGCUUUUCCAUUGCCAACAUACGAGAACUGAGUGCUGAUGAUCUGCAAAAGCUCAUGAGGAGGUGAGAACUGGGCUGCUCUGCAGCCUCCACUGCUCUGCUGCCCAUCAGCUCCUGCUGCUGAACCGGGACGUGGCCAGAGGUGGCUGCUGCUGCCUGAAGAAAUGUUGCUGCGGUUCUGGGACGUUCACAGAGAGUGGUUUAACAGAGAUCCUAAAAAUGCAGUGAGCCCUCAGAAAGUUGUCUCUUGAUCCUUUUGAACUGUCACCAGUGGUCAGCCUCUUCUGAGCUGAUCUCAAACUGGUUGCAUGAGACUAUGAUGUGUGUGAUCAUGGUAUCUACGGUUGCUUAAUGGCAGAAGAACUGAAUAUCAUGUCAGCAACUGACUAUUAGUUCUUGGCAGAAAGAUUUGCAUAGGCAUUUGUGACAACCUGGCAAUGAAAUAAUGGUUAGCGUUGGCUGACUUCUACAGAGACAGAAACUUAAAUGAGCUCCAUCUGAAAGUAAUUGCUUUCAAAAUACGAAAUAAUGAUAGUGGAGGGAGCGGGGGAGGGAGAAGUGGGGGGAGGAGCUGUUCUUUACCUCGUGAUACAAUGCCAUGGUGAGAGCCAUAGCUGUGAAACUCCAGCACAAACCUGGCUCCACAGGUAAAAGCUACACAAAGAGCAGCCCGGAGGCCUACAGGCUAUGAAAGCUGCUGUGUUUUAAAGCACUGCCAGAUCCAAGUGGCUGGGGCAGGCUGGAGCCCGGGCACUUCUACUUGAGACUACCAUUGAAAUGCUUCUGUAUGGAGCUGGAGCCUUUUCUUUCACAUUUGAGCAUCCAGUGUAGGUGUGUACUACUGUACAGUAUGACACCGCUAACAAAGAUUAGCAAAGUGUUGGCUUUAACUUUUCUAAACCAUGUUGCUAAGUUUGCAAGCCUAACUGCAUCACAGUUAAUAUUCUAGAAAUAAGCAAUGUUGUUUUUUUUUUUUUUUGGCCUCCAUCAAUUGGGAAGAACGUUUGCUUGCUACAAGGGCUUUUUCUGAACAUAAGAAUGCAGAGCAACUUGUUUCCUAACUCCCUUUGCCAGACGAUGGGAAAUAAAUAAGCAACCAUCAGUGGCGAGAAGCGUAGAAAUGGAAAGAGAAUGCACACAGGCUGACCGUAAGUCUUAUUUCCUACAGGUAAGCAUUACAGAAAUCGGCUAAUUUCUGGGGGAUUUUUUUCACUGCAACCAAACAAAAAUUAUUAGUGUUCAACCAACCCCUUUUCUAUUGCACUGACCUCCCCUUGAUGUGCACCUCCCCGUCUUCAGUGCUGCCAUCACUUACGGUUAUAGUUUCAGAAUGGGGAAAUACUUCAGCAUUUCAAAGUAGUAAUAAGCACUAUUCAUCUCGCUACGAACCACGAAAUUACAGUUGCAAAGAAAAGAUCUGUGCCACAGA